rnacentral:rRNA from 1 species
UACGAAGGGGGCGAGCGUUGUUCGGAUUUACUGGGCGUAAAGGGCGCGCAGGCGGUCUUGAAAGUCAGGCGUGAAAGCCCCGGGCUUAACCUGGGAAUUGCGCUUGAUACUCUGAGACUGGAGUACGGGAGAGGAGAGUGGAAUUCCCAGUGUAGAGGUGAAAUUCGUAGAUAUUGGGAAGAACACCAGUGGCGAAGGCGGCGACCUGGUCCUUGACUGACGCUGAGGCGCGAAAGCGUGGGGAGCAAACAGG